UGAGACCAUACUGGAAGACCUGAAGUUGGCACCAGAUUCAUGUUAUCAGCAUUAUCAUGAGUAUUUUUAACUCCUAAAGUUUUCCUUAGUUCAGAAAAACAACCUACAAAUUGUUUUCUCUCAAGAGGAUUUGCUGAAGUGUUUUAAUUCUUGUUCAAAAAGUAUUUUAUGCUAGGAUUCAGUGACUAGAAGUGAUAAACUUUCAUAAAAGACUUUUUCUGGUACAAUAACUACAGAUUAUACAGUACACAGUCAAACGAACAUUACUGAAAUUGGCCUGAUACAAGAUACCCAGAGUGUAUGUUUGCAGACUUGUUGGCUCUGAUUGUAAACGAGCUUGUCUUCCAUUUUAACUACAGUUCAUUUCCAGGGAGAAAUUUCUACUGUUUUAAAACCAGUCUGUACAUGUUGUACCUAAAAGCAAAUGAAGAACAUGUAGAGAAGGGAAGUAGCACGUGUAUAUUUCCAGAGAAAACAGCCAUUUCAGCAGAAAACACUGCCUGACAGUAAAUACUUGACCGUAAGCAUCCUGGCAGCAGAGAUGUUGCCUGGCAUGGUAAUGUAUCUCAGAAAAAUUAACCUGAUUGAUAAAAACUAAACUAAGAAUCUUUUUUUUUUUUUUUUUUUUUUUUUUGUGUGUGGUUACAGGUAGGGUCAGAGAACGUAAAACCUUCUUGGAUUAAAAAAUAUUUAAAAAAUUUAAGCAAGCAGAACUACAUAUUGUCACAUGUCUUUGAGAUAAUAUAAAAAAAAAUCUUCUAAAACACUUUCUAUAUGAUUUUGCAUGAGCAUGUAAUACUGUCCUAGUGUUUGUGGGUCACUCAUAUCAGGCUUGCAAUAUCCCAGUUCCACCUGUUUUAUAACUUACUAUCACUUCUUUUAUCCAUAACAAGGGUGCAACGCCUACCUGAGACUUGAUCUGCUCCAUUCUGUCUUUGAUGUUUCUCACUCUGAGCCAGGGGUCACAGUGCUGGCAGACAUGCCAUGGGGUAUGAAUGAUUUAAAGCAACAGGUGAAAGUCUUUAAAUGAGUGUAUUUACUACCACCUUUCAAGGACGUUGUAUCAGCUAUGCUUGAUCAUAUUCCAUGUGUUCUCAGAUGCACUUUCCAUUGUGUUGCUCUUUAGUGGUGCGGUCACAUUUCAUGUAAGUUUGCUAUUCUGUGAAUUUCACAUGUUCAUCUUGUAAAACUAGACUAGUGUGGAUGGUUAAUCUCCUGGACUUUCAUCACUCAAUAAGGGACAGAUGCACCUCAGAGUUAAGCAAACUAAUAUUUCAUACAUUUCCCAUGAAAAUGCUUCUGCCUGCAUCUCAUUUACUUGCACUUUCUGUCUUUAACAUUCACCUUUGCUGCCUCCUCUCGCUGCAAGAGUCUGAAAAGGCUCCUGUGCCCUAAACAACUUGUCAGUUUUUUAAUCUUACUUCCUUCACAUAUUUUUCUUUAAAAAUGCUUCUUCUAUAGCUAUUUUAUUCCACAACACUUUGAAGGUUUAUCACCCCCUGAGGCAUGGCACGACCUUUAGGUAGAAUUCCAGCAUCAAGCUCUAAUCAGACACUCCUCUUCUGCACAACUGCAGAUUAGAAGAAUCCCCACUCUUACCUUCAACUGCUUCCUGAGAUAUCAUAUGUGCAUGACAGCUGUAGUGGUUGCAGAACUCAUCAUGAAAAAAAAAAAUUAUGUCAAAAAAAUUAAAUACAAAAACUGUGAAGUCUCCUAAUGCAAGGAAAAAGAUACUGAGGAGUAUAAAGCGGAAAGAGGUAAUCUAUAAAUAUUUUUCUGUUCAUUCAAAUAACACACACAAAAGCAACUGUGAGAACAUACACCUCUAUUCUCAGGGUAUCAGUACUGAAAUUUUGUGAAUUAAGCAAGGAAAGCAAAUUGUUUCCCUUUCCUCUUGCUUUGCUUUCAUUUAUCUCAUAGUAACACUAAUGUACUUAUCAUGAAAAGUAAAGACUAAAUAAAAAUUAUUCCUAGAUUACAGACAGUCAGGCAGGAUUUCCUUGCUAGACAACAUAUUUACUGUACACAGAACAGCAAGAUUGGUUCCUAAUGCUGAUAAUAGAAGGCAGUGCUGAUAAAAGGGUAUAGAACAGAUCAGGAAUUAGGAGCAGUUAGUUCUAAUCCAGGCUAAACCACUGUUUAGUCAUGAUGCUGACCAGAAUAUUACAAAACUCAAUGCCUUUCUUCCUGCUACAACGUGUUUCUACUGUGUAGCUGUAAUGCUGCAAAUAUUUCUUUAGUAGUUACAGCAGCCUCAAAAAAAGUUGAGUGGAUCACUCAAAUGUACCCUGGAAUUCCUGGCAGCAUCCUGUAGCACAUCAAGAAUGUAGCAUUUUCAGAUGCUUAAAUAUACCUGAAUUACAUUUAAAAUAAAGAUUGUUAAUAAAAAUAUAAAUAACUAAAAGCUGCAGAAAUUAAACACACACACUCAGCUUCAGACUCCAUUUGCAGAUUGAUAAUGAUCAGCACCUAUAAAUCCUCAUGGGCAGUGAAACGUUGGAAGGGAGAGAGAAUGUUUUCAACAAUAGCUGAUGUCUGCAUCAGCAACAAAAACAGUCUCUGAGCACUGGCAUCAAGGAGCAUUUGAUGUGAACAAAGUGACAUCUUGUUUCAUCAAAGGUUAAUGAGUACAGCAGCUCUGUCAGCAAUACAUUAAGACAGCAGUGUCACUGUUCGUCAUACUUGGUGAGUUCGAGGCAGACUGCAAGCAUCGCCAUUUGUGGAUUUGUCGGGGUUUCUUUUCUCUCCUGGUUCAGUAAGUUUAAUGUGACAAGUUUGUAUUUCCCCAUAAGCAACCCUUCAUGCUGUUUUUCCUGCAGACUGAAAGUGCUUUUGUAAGCCUGGUACUUGUGCUGACUGGAAAACUAGAGUAAUUUCUCAGUAAACUUAGUUAAACUAGAAAGUAUUAUAGAAGAUGUAACAAAACAUUGUAACAUCAUUAACCUUUUGUUUUACAGCUUUCUGAUAAAAACUAUUUGAUAGAUUUUUUUUUUUUUUUAGAAAAUGAAAUAUUGUUGAGGUACAGACUUUCUUUUCAAGCAAAUAUUUUUAUAUAAAACUCACAGUUUAGAUAGUUAUCCAUAAUUGUUCAUUAAAAUAAGUGGAAAAGUAUAAAGCAGUAUGAAUAGGGAGAAAAAAAAAACCACAACACAACAACCCAGCAGCAGUGAGUUUCUGUAUAGCCAAAGUUCAGCACUAUGCACAAAUUCUGCUGCUAGAUCCAGAGCCACUGGGCUCAAAGAUAUUACAAUUGACUUCUGGGCUGGUAGUGUUUUCUGUGAGUAUCUCAGGAAAUUAUUAUGUGGCUGAACAAGCCCCUGACUCCAGCACAGAUUAAAUAAGGACUGCAUGGAUGAGUAAAGGUUUGGGAUCUGGACCUUAGAUGCAAGAGUACUUGUCAAAUUCUGUCAUCCCAGUUUGUAACAAACAGCAACUCAUUUCCCUAAUGGGCAAUACCUUGCCUUUCUCUAACUGUGGACAUGACAUGGAUCAUACUUCUUCACUACACAUGGCAUCAGCUUCCAGUAUCCAUGACUGAAGCCAAGGAUGAGAAGAAUCUUUCUGCCUGGGAGCUGCCCAGAUGAGUGUUCCUAUUUGUCUGUCCGUAUUGCCUGCCUCCUGUCAUACAUUUUCACCAUGACUUACUAUGGGACAGGAUCAUCCUGCUUGCACAGAGUUUGGCACAACUGAGUCCUGACCCAUGAUGAAGUGUCUGAGUGCUGAAUAUGAUAAGAAAGAGUCAGUAACUUCUCGGUGCUAUUCCUUUACCAUGGGCUGGCUUUGAAAUGUCAGAUACCAAAGAAAAUAAAUGCUGACCAGAGGACAGAAGACAGACAGAUUAUUUAGACAAGACAGACAUCUCCAAACAAGCAAGACUUCAUGAAAUCUGGUCUCAGCUGACUCAGCAACUAAUCAAAGAGGUCUUUAAACCAUAGGAAAUCACCUUUGAAAGUAUACAAAGGACAGUGAUAAAAAGAGAAGAGGAAGAAGGAUUCAUAGAACGAUUGAUGAAAUCACAAAACACUCAAGUCCUGGAAAGGUUCUAGGAGUAAAUGCUAAAGCAAGCAAUUUUCAACCUCUGGAAUAUAGGAGUGAUAAAAAGAGCUAGAAGGAAACACAACAAGUCAGUCCUAUUUCCUUCUUUGAUGGGUUAAUAUGUUCAGUAGACAACAGGAGAGCAACAGACAUAUUUCAGCUUGAAUAAGACUUUUGACAUGUAGUGCACAACUUUAUCAAAAUUCAUGAAAGAAAUAGCUUAAAUGUAAACAUCAGAGGGUAUGUUCACAACUGACUGAAAAACAUCUCUUGGUGCUUCGUUGAGGAAACAGUUCCUACAGAGGAACAGAUAUCUGAAGCAUCCUUGAAGUAUUCUUCCUGUAAAUAAUUCUUGUUGAAUGAAUGUUUUGAAAAAUUGAAAAGGAAAGGCAAAAAGUGUGCAGACAGCAAUCAAGUAAGGAGAUACUGCUAGCAGAUUCAUGACCUGAUCCUGACCUCUAGGACUCUUGACUAGUAUGGAAACAGGGGGAUAUAAUAAAGUGAUAAAGCACUCCAGAACAAGCAUUAUGUCCAAAACUAGAAGAUGAACUUUGGUAAAAACAACUGUGAAGUAUUACACUUAGGAGAAAACAAAUCACAGGUGCCAAGAUAAUCAGCAAGAGAAACACAUCAUCAUCCUUUUCCCUAAUGGCAAUUUUAAGCAAGUGUGUUAAUGGUGACUGCAAAUAGGGCACAAGUGAGUUUGGAGAUGAUCUAUGUGCAUAGUAAUGACUGUCUGUUGGCCACACAUAGCUUCAGAGACAUGUGCACAGAAUACAAAAUACCUCCAGCCAUUCACACCGAAGUUGGCCCAAUGUCAGCAAAUUGCUCGAGAAAGCACUUCCCCACACCUGCCUGGCAUGAAAGCACAAACUAGAGAAAAAUAACCAAGAUACCUAGCAGGGCAUAUAGAAAAAACACUUUUUACAACUAUUAAAUUCAUUCAAGUAAAGGUCCAUUUGACACUGUGAGGAGGAAAAAAAUUCCACCAAAAAAACUCCACAAAGCAAACUUCCUACACAAUUACGUUUUGUUUUCUCUGUUUGGACAUUUAAUCUGUCAUCACAAUGUCUUUGAAACCUUGUUUACAAUGAAGAUAGGUUACAAUGGAGCAAAGGAGAUAAAAUUCGGUGACAGACAAGGUCCAGAAUGGAUUUUUAUAAGCUAAAAUCAAUUUUAUCUAGGAAAUCAGUGAAGAAUCACUCUGCAAACUAAUUCAAACCAUACACUUUUUUUUUCCCCAAACACUUCUGAAUAUUUUGGAAUAAAGGGAAUAUAUAAUUGGUCAUUCAUAGAACUAAACUGAAACUACGUUCAGAAGUUACAGUACUCAGAAAUUAUUUCUUUUGCUGUUUUUCAAACAGUUUGCUAAAUUUCCUUCUCAGAUAUGCAUUGCCAUGUGGCAGGAGAAAAGCCUAGGCAACAUAGGUGGACUGGAAAUUUGAACACAGGGCUGCUUGUGAGGCCACAUGUGAGAAAUACAAGUUACACUAUGCUUCGCUUUUGACAUCUAACAAACUUGUCUGAGUGAACGUACCUGCCAAAAAUUACAUUAGUGACAAGGUAUCUUGUGUUUGUGCCAACACAUUUCCCUUCAAACAUGGAAAUAGCUUACCCCACGUGUCUGGCCUUCACUAAUAUCUUGAAAGCCGAGACAUAUCUACGGCAAAUUAAUUUGAGUUUUUGCUUUGGAUAAAGUGACCAGUCUGCUGACUUGGUGGCAUUUGGACCAUACAAAAUGUGAAAGGUUGAGAGAACUCAGUUUGUCCAGUCUCAAGAAGAGAAGGUGAAGUGAGAUAUUACGAUUUUUUUCAUCGAUGUAACAGGUGCUUUUAAAGAAGACAGAGGUAAACUUUUGGAGCUGCACAGUGAAAGGAAAGAGGCAAAAGACACAGGCUGCAGCCAAGGAAAUUCCAAUUAGAUAUUAGGAAUUUUUUUUUCCCCAUGAGAGUGGUCACAGGUGCCCAGGUGGGACAAGUACUCUCCAUUCUUGGAGAUGUUUAAAACCCAACUGGACGCGGCCCUGAGCAGCCCAAGUUAUCUUUGUAGCUGGAUCUAAUUUAAAAUUUGGACCUGCUCUAAACAUGGCUGUUGGACCAGACAGCCUCCAGAGACCCCUUCCAGGCUGAAUUAUUCCCCGACAGAGAGAGCUGCUGCGAGGCUGCUCUCUCAGAAAAGUGUUUCACGAGAAACAGGGUCUGAUCUUAACAGCAUGAACAACGAACAAAGGAUCACCUUUAAGAUGCUUCUCUCUGGGUCCCAUAUGCCAAUGAGUUAUUAAGAAGCAUUAUUGAGAUGAAGAUUUACUUCAAAAAGUGUUGUGCGUUCUGUCAAUGCACAGAAACAUUCUAUAGUUUUAUUGUCUUAAAUGGGAACUGUUCCCUCAUGGAUGUUUCUUCAGAGGAAACACUUUACAGGAAAAGGAACAUGCAGGCCUUGUUUUUUGCCCUUGUACUGGUAGAACAGAGACCACUCUCUUUAUGUUUGAACUAGAAUAUAACAACUCUGAGUUUGUUUUAUUUUGUGUGUGUGUGUUUUUAACAUCCUUAAAAGCUUCCUAGGGCAAGAAUUAAAGACAAGCAAACAAACAGAAAACCCAAACAGGAUCUGCACUUCAUGUUAGUUUGCAUCCAGCAUCUGCAAUGUGAUCUUGACAAAACAAGGGUUUUGUUUAGAAUUAGUUUGGAUUCUAAACAAACAAGUGAAGAGUUAGAAAAUACUCUUAAAGCACAUACAAACAACACAUUAAAUAGGCACCUCACUGGACCAGGAGAUCUUGCUCUAAUUCCCAGUUCUACAUGAAUGCUCUAAAGGACCUUGGCCAAGACAUUUUGUUUUCCUCUGUCUCACUUCUCCCCCAUAAAAAUGAAAAUAAUAUCACCUUUUUGCCACUCUUUGCCUUUCUAAAUACACAGAACUGAUAAUCCCAUAGGAAAGUAGCUCUGUCCUAUUACAGUAUGAACUCACUAGCAGUCAAGUUAUCAAAUAACCUGAAAGUAUGACUAACAUAUGAUGAACAGAAACAGAAAUAAAAAGAGCAAGUACUCCCUUGCAAAUGUACUGUUGAUUUUGCUUAAUUGAACAGCUGGUGACUCUUGGAGGACCAAGGCUUUUCCCACAUCCUUAGGCAGCACUGUCAGUCUGUUGUGCUGUUCAGGUCAUGUCCAUAACAUACAAUAAAAGUUUCCCUCCAGGGUAGCCAUCCUCCCUCCAUAAUUUCCCAUCUCUCACUGAGAUCCAGUUUAGAAAUACAGUCCCAUAGGAUUUGUGUAAGGAACCUGAAGGAAUCUAGGCUGGUGGCACUGAAAGUAGACACCCUAACAAGGACAGAGCAUGGUCUCACGUGGAGCUGCACAAUUAGUUUGUCUCAUAAGUUUGCACAGAUCUGCAGAGCUGGCUUUGGAUUGUAUACCAAAAUACCACAUGCAGAUAACACUGCAGAGUGCAAAUGUAAGCAUUUAUAUAAAUGUGAAAGGCAGAGCAGGUCUCAAUGUUGUUUGGUUUCCAGUGCUGUUGAGAACAUUCAUGCUCAGACCUUAUAGUGAGAUUCUCCAAUCUCCCCUCAAAGCAAGCCUUCUCUUUGCCUGUCUCUGUACAUUCCUAGACAUUUUAUAAUCCAAGCUCUGACACACACUAUCUGGAGGAAAUGGCCACUGAAAGGGCCCUCCUGCCCAUGUGUCCUGACUAACGUAAGAGAACAAAUCCUUAAUUGUUGCUCAAGUGUCCUAUGUCAAUACAAUAAAAUCUCUGUCUUCUGUUUUUAAGGUUA